GGAGUGCUUUGAGCGAAAUGCAGCCUUCCUAGAGUGGUGACGCUGAGCUGCUGAUCAGUCUGGACUUCAGGCAUCAGGGGAGGUGCCUGUAUGCUGGUGUAGAUGAACACAAAGAGCUCAAUGAUUCAUCACCUUCACUCUGUGAUGUUGUGACCAAGUCUGUGAUGAUUUCUUUGCUGUGGGAUAACUCUCCCCAGGCCUCAACAAGCAACACAGAUGUGAAAAGGAUCAUGUGGUCUAAAUGCGUGAAACCUGAGCUUCCCUGGCACAGUAAGGCUGCCAGCAGUAUGAGAAGGUCUAUUAGGAAGACGUCACCAGUCAAGACCGCUGUGCACACUGAACAGGAGCCUCACAUCAGAGCCACCCAGAAUGAGGGAAAACCCAGCCAGUCACAGGCCAAACACUAUGAGACACCCGUAUGGGCCCAGAGAGCCAAGGAGCGAAUUAAAAGUGCAUUGAAGCCCCUGGAAUCUCCAGCUAAUAAGGAGCCAACCUUAACAACUGCCCCACAAACACCUGAGUGUAGCAACAAGGCAGGAUGGUUUAAUGUACUUGAGAACCAACCCAGGACAAAGUCAGCCCGGCAGAGUGUGAGGGUCCAACAGAUGACACCAGAUGACAUCAGUCUAUUUUAUUUUCUUGAGAAUCAACACGCUCAGCAAGUUGAAACAAUUGAGGAUAUUGUGACCUGCUUAAUAGGCGAAAUCUAUUAUGAUGAGACAGGUACCCAACCAGACACCCAGAUUCCUGGCCUGAGUGAAACAGCUUUGGACCUCAUUGAUAAUGUGGUGGAUGAGCUAAAGAACACCCCAAGUGACCUGUUUGGUUUACAUACCGAUGAGUCUCUGGUCCUCCCAUCUAGUUAUAAACAUCAGGUGGCCAAGAGUGUUCACAAAGAAUUGCUUUCCUGCACUGGUUCCCAAGAAAGCUUGUGGAAGGCUGUAUCCUUGGGCCACAUGGUGAAAGAGAUUGCCAGCUCAAUCUCUCUGGAGGUGUCCAAAGUAACCAGCAAGAUUGGGGCUGUCUAUCACACUAGUGUCGAUCACACUGAUAGUCCAAUCUCACCCGGCCCCAGAACGGACACAAAUUCUACCUGGGUGUCCUGUGCAGACUCAGACAUCUCUGAAGAUCUUGUCCUCAGAAUCCUAGACUUCAUAUCUUACUGUCGGUCACCAGACAGCACCUGGAAUGGGCCACAGAGUCGAUGCUCCACUGAUAUGACCGGAGAUCUCAUGGAUGCAGUCAUGGUGGAGCUCUUCACUAACACAGCCAUGCUGACGAUUCCAGUAGGUAAGCACCAGCAAAAAUGGUGCAAACCCUCCCUUACAGAUCUGGAGAAAGCUGCCAGAUUAGUGUAUAAGAAGAUGGUAAAGGAAACUGGCUCAGCUGCAGCUUUGCAAGACGCUCUCAAGCUCAGAAGGAAGCUUGUAGUCACAGCACUGGCUGAUGUAGUGGCAAAGCAAGUGUACAAGCACUUCUCAGAACAGGAGUCAGACUCCACAUAUCUCCCAGACCAAACCAGCCACAAAGAUGACUGCCCUGUUACAAGCCACAGUAACAGACAACUCACACCUGAGCUUGCUGCUGCUCAAUCUGCCAGUGAGUGCAUAGUGAACUGCAAGGCUGUGUGGGAGAUCAUUUCCAGACUGCUGCAGGAGAUUUGUCCUAACGUGCCCAUGGAAGAGAAGCCCUACCUUUAUGCUCAGGAUCUUUUUCAUAGUGCUAUAAAUAAGCUGUCUGAGUCUCCAGGGGUAACAGUAUGUGCUGAUGAGACUAUCUGUGACGUCUGCCGCCAUCCACAGGCCAUUGAGUUAAUCUGCGGCCGUGUUCUGGAGUGCCUGCAAUUUCAGAUUAACCUCAUGGGCUACAAUUUAAACUCUGCCCUGGAUGCCCAAGACGAGGCUCUCAGCUACUUCAUUGUUGCUCAUCUUGUGCAAGAGACCCUGCUGUUGAUCUCAAAUCAGACCAAUGGCAGCUCCCCUGAAGUAGACUCAGGUUCCCACCGUCAACCUGAGAGUCAAACACAACCAUGUGUAGUGAGCAGCAAAGUAAAUUAUGAAGAUUGGCCAACUUGUCAGUCAAACAUCACUGUACCAAAGGGCCAUUCCACCAUUUCUGCAACCAAGGGCUUGUCACCUAGGGCUUGCCUUUCCACUGUGUUUGCAACCAAGGGCCUACCACAGAUGCCAGGUCAAACAUACACUGGCAGAAGAAGGCACACAGUCCUGAGUGUGAAAAUAAAAAAGCACUCUCACAGAGGAAUUCAUAUCACACCGUCAGAAAGGAUAAUUCGGUUGAAGGAAAUGCAGAGGGAGUCAUCUUCUGAGGUCUCAUCAGUUUCAGUGGAGAUGUUUUCUGAAAGCCAUGGACAGAGAAGAGGGUGUUUUGGAUGGCUCCUCUCUAAGGUGAUGUGCACUGAAGACAUCCACUGGUUCGAGUAAUGUUUGAGUGUAACCAAACAUUCAAACCUAAGCUGAAUGACAAAUACAAGUUGAAGGGUGGAGGAAUGUAAAUAAAUCAAAGCAAGCCUACUUUGACCUAUUAUUGUGAUUCAGUAACAGGUGAUUCACCGUGGUUUUAGUAAGUCAUAGAAUUUCCAUUAUAUGUAUAGUCAUUUCGGUUGCCAACCUUCCAUAGCUAGCUAAGUAUAUGACGCAAAAAUUAUUUGCUGGUUUGAAUGAUGCCUGAACAGCAUAGCCUAUUAUGAACACGGUGCCAGAAACAUUCCAUUUAAUAAUAUUCAGUGCCUUCAGAAAGUAUUCACACAUUUCAUUAUAUGUGUAGUCAUUUUGGCUGCCGACCUUCCACAGCUAGCUAAGUAUAUGAAACAAAGAUUAUUUGUUGGUUUGAAUGAUGCCUGAACAACAGUAUAGCCUAUUAUGAACACAGUGCCAGAAACAUUCCAUAAAAAAAAUAUACAGUGCGUUCAGAAAGUAUUCUCACUAUGACAAUAACCUAAAAUGCAAGGCCAAAUCUACACCGUAGUUGCUUUCCAAGAAGACACUGAAUAUUCAUGAGUGGCAGAGUUACAGUUUACACUUAAAUCUGCUUGAAAAUCUAUGGCAAUGAUCAAUAACCAAUUUGACAGAGCUUGAAGAAUUUUUGAAAAAAAAAUGAAGAAAUGUUGCACAAUCCAGGUGUGGAAAGCUCUUAAGAGACUUACCCAGAAAGACUCACAGCUUUAAUCGCUGCCAAAGGUGCUUCUACAAAUAUUUACGUAUGCAAAUGAGAUAUUUCUGUACUUCAUUUUCAUAAAAUGUGCAAAAAAAAUGUAAACAUGUUUUCACUUUGUCAUUAUGGGGUAUUUUGUGUAGAAAAAAAAAUAUUCAAUCAAUUUAGAAUUCAGGUUGUAACACAACAAAAUGUGAAAUAAGUCAAGGGGUAUGAAUACUUUUGGAAGGCACUGUAUAUUUUGAAAUGUUAUAAAAGGAAGAACAAUUAGUGUGACAGCAAAAAUUAUAUAUUUUUAUUUGGGGAUGGGGGAAGGUCUGUUAGAAGUUAGUAGAGCUCUUUUUAAUUUUGUUAGUAGAGUUAUAUGGUGCGGUGGCUUAUUGCUGCCACUCAAAUUUGUUUUAUGUCAUUACGAGAUAAGGUCAUGUCACAAGUAGAGAUGAAACAGUAUGAAAAUGUCAUAUCAUGAUUAUAGUGACCAAAAUUAUCACGGUUAUCAGAUUUAUCGCGGUAUUGUUAAAAUGUGCUGGAAAUGUUAAAAAAAGUACUGAUACACAUACUGAAAUCAUUUCACCAAGUUUUAUAUUGAAAACCAACAAACAACAAAUAAAAUUAGCAGCACUAUGCACUUUUUGAAUUGUGCAUAAACAUUAAAACAUUAAAAAAAUAUAUACAUAUAUAAAAUGCAUGAAAUGAAAUGUAUGCAUUCACUACUGUAAGUCGCUCUGGAUAAGAGCGUCUGCUAAAUGACUAAAAUGUAAAAUGUAAAGAUGGCACCAUGUGGCCAUGAGAGGUAAAAGUUUCCCUAGUGCAGGUUUUAAUGAACACAACCUUAAGUAAGCAAAUCAAAUGUGCAUAUAAAAGCAACACAAGUAAAGCAAUGUGCAUGUAAGAACAAUACAACCAUAUGUAAACCAAUCCAAUGUGUAGGUGUUGACAUUAAAAUAACAACACAAAAUAUGUGAACAAAUGAAAUGAAC
rnacentral:lncRNA from 1 species